GUCACAUAUACAUUAGUAUAGAUGUGUUUAUAUAAAGCAUUUUGUUUUUCUGCUAUUUAUGGCUAGUGCUGCUUUAGAACAUACAUGUAAUGCUUUUCUUUUUCUUUUUCUUUUUUGGUACCACUGAACCGCAUCCCCAGCCUUUUUAUAUUUUAUUUUGAGACGGGUCUUGCUAAGUUGAAUAGUGCCUCACUAAGUUGCUGAGGCUGGCUUUGGACUCCCAGAACUCCUGCCUCAGCCUCCCGAGCUGCUGGGAUUAUAGGCGUGUGCCACUACUUUCGGCUGUAAUGCUUUUCUUAAUUGUUCCCACAUCUUAUUAAGGUAAUUAAUUUGGUGUAAAGUGUAUAUUAGAGAAUUAUUUAACUCUUGGAAUAAAAAUUUGAAAUUGAUGCUGACCUAUUAAGAUACAACUUUGAUCCACUGUAAUUAUGAGGUAGUCAUAUCAGUAUUAGUAUAUGUUAUCCAAAAAUUAACACGAACAUUUUCUUAUUCUGGAUAUGAUAUCUUUGGCAUCAUUGCCUGUUCUUCUUGAUUAAAAUGAAAUAAUCUUAUUGAGUAAAUAGUGGUAUGUAAUUUAAAAAUAUCUUCUUUUAACUGUCUUUAAUAUAGUUAGGUGUGUUCUGUAAAAUUGAUGUCAACUCCCCGAAUCUCUAUUAUUUUCUUUCCUUUUUUUCUUCCUGUUCUCUGUAUUCUCUUGAGGGCCUCUAGUUAAUUUCUGUAGGGAAGAAUAUGUUUAAAUCUAUAUCUGUCUCUCAGGUUUACAUGGAUUCUUUUUCGUUUACCCCAAUAUACUAUGUCUAAAAUAUUAUAAUAGAUAUAGUUACUCAUUUUCAAAAAUUUGAAAAGGAGCAUAUCACAAUUAAUGAAAGCAUUUGUAGAAUCUCAUAUUUGUACUGUAUUUCUUUUUAAUGUGUACAUAUCAUUAAUGUUUUAAGAUGGCUCUUAUGAGAAAAUUUUCCUGUCUUUAGAUAUAUGAGUACAUAAAGAUAUCUUAAUUUGGAUCAUGAUUGAUUUAUUUAGAACAUUUCCAUCCUUUUUAGUCAUUGGGAGAGUUUUUAGUUUGAAUAUAACAGUGCAGUUAGCAUACUCAUUGAAAACAUGUUUGUAUGCAUAUGUCCCUGACAGUUUCUUUUAUUAUAAACUGAAGUUAUUAGAGACUUGGUUUGACUUUUUUUUUUGGUAUUUAUUUAUUUAUUUAUUCGUUCAUUCAUUCAUUCAUUCAGUGUCUUGAAUACCUGAAGAGAGUGAGGAGUAAUUGCCAGGGGUAAUUAGACCGAUAUUAAACAGAUAUUAGUCACAUAUUCACACUUCAUUCCUUCACACUUUCUUCAUUCUUCCUACUGAAACACAUAAGCUUCCUGUGCCCUGCUAUUAUGCACCAUUCUUUGCCUUUUGUUCAGCACUUUUUGUUUACUAGGAUUGGGUUCUGUUCAUUUCUCUUUUAUUGGAUGAUUUUCAUUUUUUUCUCAUUGUGCUGGAGGUUAAACUCAGAGCCUCAUCCUUGGUAGGUAAGCACUUUAUCACUGAACUAUGUGCCUUGCCCUCACUGGAUAAUUUUAAUGAAUUUUAGUGUUUGCAAGAUGAUUCUGCCCUCUUGAUCUGCUUUUCCAGCACUUUGUACCAAAUACAACUGCAUACAUUCCUUCACAUUUAAAUACCUAUUAAUCAUAUCUCAUCUACUUGUUAUGUUAUAGAUAACAGUGUUUUUUUGUAUAGUAUUGUUUUUUAUAUUAUUGUCUUUUGAUAAUGAUAGUGACCAUUACCUGAGUACACUUUAAGUGUUUAACAUGUGUAAUAAUGGUUUUUAUGGAAGUAAAUUCUAAUUUGAUCUCUUAAUUUUUCAGAUCGGGUAAUUGAGGUCAAAUACACUCAGUAACAUUGCUCCCAAAUGUCAGAGUGAAGACUCUCUCUCAUUAUCAAUGAUGCUUAAGUUGGAGGUAAAAGUGAGGUCCUCUUCAAUUUCUUGUGAUGAUUGUGCUUCUAGGAAUAUCAGCAAAGGAGAAACAGAAAAGUUUAUAGCAUAGUAACAUUAUGAUUAACUGCUAGUAGAACACUUGAAUGUAUCGAUUAUCUCCACAUUUGAUUUUCAAACCAGGCAAGUACAUACAGAAGUGACCUUUAUUGGGUGUUUUGUUUUGUUUUAGUACUGGGGGUUGAACCCAGGGAUGUUUUACCAAUGAGCUAAUACCCCAGUUCUUUUCAUUUUUAUUUUGAGACCAGGGCUUGCUAAGUUGCUGAGGCUGACCUUGAACUUAUGAACCUUCUUGCUUAGCCUCUUGGUUAUUAUAGGUGUGUACUACCUUGCCUGUAACAGAAAUAACCUUUAAAACGCCAUUUCUUCCUCAAUGUUGGUUCAUUUUUUAGGAAUAGUCAGACCUGUAAAUAAUUCUAAUUGUGUCUAAUUGAUUCAAUCAUCUCACCAACUCCAAUGUUAACUGUUGUUUUCAUUACAUUUCAAAGAUAGGACAUCAAACAAAUGGAAGUUUAGAACUUGGUCAAGAACGGCUAGCUACUGUAAGCCAUUUUUGAACCCAUGUCUUAUGGAGCAAAAGCACAACCUUUUUCUGUUUUUUUUUUUUUUUCCCCCCUGAGCGGUAUUGGGAUUUGAACCCAUGGCUCAUGCAUGGUAAGCAAGCGCUCGACCACUGAACUGCAUCCCUAGCUCCUCUUUUUGAAAAAAAACUUCAAUAUCAGGUUUUGGUAAGUUGCCCAGGUGACCUCAAACUUAGUCCUAUUGCCUCAGUCUCCUGAAUAACUGGACUGAUAAGUAACCUAAUUCUUAAUUGUUCCAGUUGUUGUAUAGUGUCAUCUUUGGACUUUUCUAGAAUCCCUUGAUGUUGCUGCUGUUUCUUCUCAUGACGAAUGUCUCUUAUAAACACGUUUUUGCAGCUUAACUUCACUCCAUGUAAGAAUCUUUUUAACAUGAGACUUGUUCCAUAGGGUUCCAUUGGCUUUGCAAGUUAGAGGAUUGCUUUUUGAUUCUUUCGUUUGGCUAUUAAGACAGAUUCUUAGAGGAGUUUACCUGCCAUUAAGUCAGCUGUUUUGUCCUAGAUGUUUCUUUCCACAUUCAGUUCCCUUUACCUUCAGGUCUUCAGCCUCCAUUUAACUUCCUAUCUUAUGCACUGAGCAUUGCAGAAUUAUGUCAGAUGAGGAAUCAUUCCAUCAAGUAACCGGGAAUAUUGCUGUGAAGAGGUCUGUCUUUUUGUAAGAGGGGUGAGUUUUAAUUCAUUUAAGCUAUAGAACAAGUCAUAAAUUGUAAUGCAUUGCUUAAUUGUCUUAUUUAUAAAGAAAACCCAUUAAUAAUAUAACUAUUAUUCCAAACCAAACAUUUUAUGUCUAUGUACCUGUUUAUUAUUAUCUACUCUAGGCCUUGUACAUAGUCUCUUCUCCACAUCCUCUAACGAUUUUAUUAUUAAUAUUAAUAUCACAUACAUUGUACAGAUAAGUGUGAAUUUGAGAGGAAAUAAUUUGGACAAGAUCCGAAUGCCCCUGCCUCCCUCCUUUUUGUACUAGAAAUUGAACCCAGGAGUGCCUAACCACAUCCCUAGGACCCCCUCCCCCCCCUUUUUGUGGUGCUGGGAAUUGAACCCAGGGCCUUGUGCAUUCAGGGUAAGCACUCCACCAACUGAGCUAUAUCCCCAGCCCCCCUAGCCCCUUUUUAAAAUUUUAUUUUGAGACAGGGUCUCACUUAGUUGCUUAGUGCCUCACUAAGUUGCUGGAUUUGAACCUGUGAUCUUCCUGCCUUGACCUCCUGACCCACUGGGAUUACAGGUGUGCACCACCACACCUGGCUCAGAAUGCCUUUAAGUUAUGGUUUAUAUUUAAAGGCCCAAUUCAUAGCAUUUUAUAUAGCCCAAGGAAGCUUCAAAUUGUUUAGAAUGUAACUAAGGAAAAGAAGUGUGGAUAAUCUUCAUAUACUUAAAUUUCCCAAUAUUUGCCUAAUAAGAUUAUAUAUAAAUACUGACAUACUGAGAG
rnacentral:lncRNA from 1 species